UACGUAGGGUCCGAGCGUUGUCCGGAAUUACUGGGCGUAAAGAGCUCGUAGGUGGUUUGUCGCGUUGUUCGUGAAAACUCACAGCUUAACUGUGGGCGUGCGGGCGAUACGGGCAGACUGGAGUACUGCAGGGGAGACUGGAAUUCCUGGUGUAGCGGUGGAAUGCGCAGAUAUCAGGAGGAACACCGGUGGCGAAGGCGGGUCUCUGGGCAGUAACCGACGCUGAGGAGCGAAAGCGUGGGGAGCGAACAGG
rnacentral:rRNA from 1 species